CAGCAGCCACGGUAAUACGUAGGGUGCAAGCGUUAAUCGGAAUUACUGGGCGUAAAGCGUACGCAGGCGGUUUUGUAAGACAGGCGUGAAAUCCCCGGGCUCAACCUGGGAAUGGCGCUUGUGACUGCAAAGCUAGAGUGCGGCAGAGGGGGAUGGAAUUCCGCGUGUAGCAGUGAAAUGCGUAGAUAUGCGGAGGAACACCGAUGGCGAAGGCAAUCCCCUGGGCCUGCACUGACGCUCAUGCACGAAAGCGUGGGGAGCAAACAGGAUUAGAUACCCGCGUAGUCCCUGUCUCUUAUAC
rnacentral:rRNA from 1 species